rnacentral:rRNA from 1 species
UACGUAGGGUGCAGGCGUUAAUCGGAAUUACUGGGCGUAAAGCGUGCGCAGGCGGUCUCUUAAGACAGGUGUGAAAUCCCCGGGCUUAACCUGGGAACUGCGCUUGUAACUGAGAGGCUAGAGUGUGGCAGAGGGGGGUGGAAUUCCACGUGUAGCAGUGAAAUGCGUAGAUAUGUGGAGGAACACCGAUGGCGAAGGCAGCCCCCUGGGCUAACACUGACGCUCAUGCACGAAAGCGUAGGGAGCAAACAGG